UAAUACGGAGGGGGCUAGCGUUAUUCGGAAUUACUGGGCGUAAAGCGCGCGUAGGCGGUUUGUCAAGUUGGGUGUGAAAGCCCGGGGCUCAACCUCGGAAUUGCACUCAAAACUGGCAGACUAGAGACCGAGAGAGGUGAGUGGAAUUUCCAGUGUAGAGGUGAAAUUCGUAGAUAUUGGAAAGAACACCAGUGGCGAAGGCGGCUCACUGGCUCGGUACUGACGCUGAGGUGCGAAAGCGUGGGUAGCAAACAGGAUUAGAUACCCUGGUAGUCCACGCCGUAAACGAUGAGUGCUAGACGUCGGGAGGCAUGCCUUUCGGUGUCGCAGCUAACGCAUUAAGCACUCCGCCUGGGGAGUACGAUCGCAAGAUUA
rnacentral:rRNA from 1 species